rnacentral:rRNA from 1 species
CGUAUACUAAAAGAGUAAAGAAACUUUGGAUUUUAAAUGCUAAAAAGGAGAAGAGAAUUUACGAGUUUAUUUUUAGGGUAAAAUCUUUAAAUAAAUAUUUUUUUCAAAUUUAUUUUUUUUUGAAGUUUUAAAAUGAGACUAGGAUUAGAUACCCUAUUAUUAAUAAAAGUAAAGAAAUUAGGUAGUAUUAGAUGGCUUGAAACUUAAAGAAUUUGGCGGUAUUUUAAUCUAAUUAGAGGAACUUGUGUUUUUAUUCGAAAUUACUCGUCAAAUCUUACUUAAAUUUUGUUUGUAUAUCGUCGUAAAAAUAAAACUUUAAAGUGAAUAUUUAAAUUUAUAAAGUAAAGAAAUACAGAUCCAGGUUCAGCAUAUUUAAGGAGAACAUGAGUUACAAUAUUUGAAAAAUAAAUGAAUAAUUGUUUGAAAAGGAGUUUGAAGGUGGAUUUAAAAGUAAAUUAAAGGAAAAAGUAAGU